ACCAUUGACCUUCGACCCUGCAACCUCCUCUAUUCAAAGUGUUUCAUCCACCCAUUGUCGCCACCAUCAGUUGUCAAUCCACCAUCUCUCUUAAUUCAACUAAAAAUAAAUUCAGAAAUGUGUUUUACGGGAAAAAAGUUUGAAAUAACAAACUACAUACUCUUCUUUAAUUUCUUCAUUUUUCGUCUCUGAUUCGAAAGAAAAUUGAAGGAAAUUCAACCAUUAAUGGUGGAAUUGAAGUGUUUGUGAAGAGAUUUCCUAACUUCAAAUAAGAGAAGAAAUUACUCAAAGGAUUUUAAAAUUGUUUGGUUUGAGCUUAACAGAAAAAGAGAAGAAUUGAUGGUGGUGGUGCUAGCGCGGUGGAAAUGGUGGCAGCGGGGUGCACGGUUGAAAUGGUAGUGUAGCCGUGUAGGAAGAAGAUAUGGUCACAGAAGAAAGGAAAAGAAAGAGUGAAUAUAUUGAGCAUGCACUCCAUCACCUGAAAUACGCGAAUUAUUGUACCACAUGAAAAAAGGGUGGAUGCGCGCAUUAACUUAAAAUGGAUUUUGUUACCU